ensembl:lncRNA
CUAGACUACAGGAACAGUAUAGAAACUAGACUACAGGAACAGUAUAAGAACUAGACUACAGGAACAGUAUAGAAACUAGACUACAGGAACAGUAUAGGAACUAGACUACAGGAACAGUAUAGAAACUAGACUACAGUAUAGAAACUAGACUACAGGAACAGUAUAGAAACUAGACUACAGAAUAGAAACUAGACUACAGGAACAAAACUAGACUACAGGAACAGGAUAGAAACUAGACUACAGGAACAGUAUAGAAACUAGACUACAGGAACAGUAUAUAAACUAGACUACAGGAUAGAAACUAGACUACAGGAACAGUAUAGAAACUAGACUACAGGAACAGUAUAGAAACUAGACUACAG